rnacentral:rRNA from 1 species
UACGUAGGGGGCAAGCGUUGUCCGGAAUCAUUGGGCGUAAAGAGCGUGUAGGCGGUUCGGUAGGUCGGCUGUGAAAGUCCAGGGCUCAACCCUGGGAUGCCGGUCGAUACUGCCGGACUAGAGUUCGGAAGAGGCGAGUGGAAUUCCCGGUGUAGCGGUGAAAUGCGCAGAUAUCGGGAGGAACACCUAUGGCGAAGGCAGCUCGCUGGGACGUUACUGACGCUGAGACGCGAAAGCGUGGGGAGCAAACAGG